GAUGAACGCUGGCGGCGUGCUUAACACAUGCAAGUCGAACGAUGAAGGGAGCUUGCUCCUGGAUUAGUGGCGAACGGGUGAGUAACACGUGAGUAACCUGCCCUUGACUCUGGGAUAAGCCUGGGAAACUGGGUCUAAUACCGGAUAUGACCUUCCAUCGCAUGGUGGUUGGUGGAAAGCUUUUGUGGUUUUGGAUGGACUCGCGGCCUAUCAGCUUGUUGGUGAGGUAAUGGCUUACCAAGGCGACGACGGGUAGCCGGCCUGAGAGGGUGACCGGCCACAGUGGGACUGAGACACGGCCCAGACUCCUACGGGAGGCAGCAGUGGGGAAUAUUGCACAAUGGGCGCAAGCCUGAUGCAGCGACGCGGCGUGGGGGAUGACGGCCUUCGGGUUGUAAACCUCUUUCAGUAGGGAAGAAGCCGGAAGGUGACGGUACCUGCAGAAGAAGCGCCGGCUAACUACGUGCCAGCAGCCGCCGUAAGAC
rnacentral:rRNA from 1 species